UCUCUUGGCUUUAUGCUGUCUGGGCCUGUUAAUUUCCACUGUAAUUCUGAGGACUAGGAAAAAAAACCCUGAAAUUCUCAGGCUGAUCUUCCCACCUGUUACAAGGACUGAGGAAACAUGCUGCCAUGGGCAAGAGCUUAUCAACUCCCAACAUGACACCAUCCCAAGAGCUAAGGAACAGGGAAUCAGAGAGGAGCUGAGGUGGGAGGUGAAGGUUUCUUCUGAACAAAGCAGCGUGCAGUGUUAAGCCACCUUAAAUCAAUAGCAAAGACGAAGUCACCAGCAAAUUUCUCAUCUCAGAAUAAAGAAAUUUUAGAAAUCACUGGAAUGGCUGUCGGAACAUGAGGACUGCCAGAAGGCCAGAGAUUAAAAGAACGCAGUAUGGAGCAGGUUUCUGUCAAGAACGAAAUACUUGCAUUAAAGAAAGAGAAAAUGGGCUUCUUAUCAAACACAAGUUCCCAAAGCCAGUGAUUUCCAGUCAGUAUUGGAGACAUUUGGGAGAUUGUAAAGGGAAUAAUUUGAAGAACAGUUGAAAUACAGGCCUCUGUUCGGGACUAGGAGGGAGUCUAAGGUCUAUCACAAGGAGAGAUAGCAUGGCC
rnacentral:lncRNA from 1 species